AGCAACACGAAGCGCCUCAAAGACGGUUUAUGUUGUAAAAUGUUUGUACAUUCAGAUACUUGGAUAUUAAAAGAAUUACUACCAGAAAUGUUUCCCUUUUCGUAGCAGGAAGUCCUGAGAUUUCUCCCCAGAAAUGUUUCUAAAAGCAGAAAUGCAGAAAAUGAACCACAAAAUAACUCAAUAUUCCUCAGUAUUCAAACACACACGAAUCCUGCAGGUACUUUUCAAGGAAAAUUGUGACUGAAUUUGACGAGAAGUUCCACUAAAUGAUGUGUUGUUUUGGUUUUAUGUGACCAGGCUGCAGUGUAGAAGAAGCUCUGGAAGCUGCUUCGCUCCAUCCGGCUCAGCUUCUGGGUGUCGACCACAAGAAGGGGAACCUGGACUACGGAUCGGACGCAGACCUCGUUUUGCUCGACGACGCCCUCAACGUCAAAGCCACCUUUAUCUCUGGAGAGGAGGUCUGGAGAAAAGAACCAGAGAAGAAGAAGUAGCCUGAAGCUGGGAGCCGCGGUGCCUUCAGGGGGAAGCUGUAAAUCACAGAACCACAAAUCUGUUGAAUGUUGUUGUUCAUCAGAAAACACAGGGAACUUUAUCUUCAGCUGCUCUUUCAUUUAAAAACGAUCCGGUUUAACUGAUUGGAAACUAUUGGAUGGAUGAAGUCUACGGACUUUCCUUGAGUCUCAGUUGUACUUUUGAAUAUUUAGUUUAGGUUGAAAGUUCAACUUCGACCGAUGACUGAAGUACUCGUGUACAGCUGAGCCUGAAGCCCUGUGCAGAUAGAGCUAAUAUUAAUGAAUUCAUAUUACUUCCUCUAAUAAAAGUCGUCAUUCUUGACGGCAGUAAUUAUUAACGAUGAGGCUGCUUUUACAGAAAGAAAGAGACGUGAUGUUUAAACACAUGAAGCUCACGUUUGAUGAACUUCCUUCAUUUGUAUGAGUUGACUGACGUUAACAUGUGAUUUAUCUGUAAAUAUAUUAUAUCCAUUGACCGUAGAUAAGAUCUUGUUUUUCUACCAUCGCCAUCUUUGUUUUUUUUGCUAUUUCCAACUUGGUUUAUGGUCGUCGCCAUCUACUUCAGACUCGAUAGCGUAACCAGAUCUUUCUAUAUAAACUCUUAAAUGUGUCUUGGUGGACUGGAUUUGAGUUACAGGCGGUUCAGUUAGCUCACUGAUCACUUAUUAGACUCUUACUGGGAAGAUGGUUGAAAAAUCACGGACGCAUGAGCUCCAGAUGGAAUUAACAUCAUUGAUGUGAUGACAUAGAGACAUGGAUCCAGUCCAAAUGGAGCUUCAGAUGUCCUAAAUAGGCCACCGUACAGAGAUUAGACCUUUUACAAAAGAUAAAAACUUGACUUUUUUCCUCAAGACUUUUCAAUUUAAGAAUAUCGAAAUUCUUUCUCCAUAUUUCAUUAAUCCAGAAUGUUGUUUUUUGGGGGUUUAUUGAUGAUUGUAGCCUCACAGGACCGCUGCACAUUAGUUGGACUGACUUUGCUGAUAGCCAGUACUUUACUAAAUAAAUCUGUUUUAUAAUAAAAGUAUAUAAAUCAACUUUCAGUGGAAGUUGCUGUAUGAUGAUUUCUCCUCUUCUAAGCAAUAACAUUUACUUUUGUUUUAUCA